UCGGGAAUUUUGGGCAAUGGGCGAAAGCCUGACCCAGCAACGCCGCGUGAGUGAAGAAGGCCUUCGGGUUGUAAAGCUCUUUUGUCAGGGAAGAAACGGUAGUAGCGAAUAACUAUUACUAAUGACGGUACCUGAAGAAUAAGCACCGGCUAACUACGUGCCAGCAACCGCGGUAAUACGUAGGGUGCAAGCGUUAAUCGGAAUUACUGGGCGUAAAGCGUGCGCAGGCGGUUGUGUAAGUCAGAUGUGAAAUCCCCGGGCUCAACCUGGGAAUUGCAUUUGAGACUGCACGGCUAGAGUGUGUCAGAGGGGGGUAGAAUUCCACGUGUAGCAGUGAAAUGCGUAGAUAUGUGGAGGAAUACCGAUGGCGAAGGCAGCCCCCUGGGAUAACACUGACGCUCAUGCACGAAAGCGUGGGGAGCAAACAGGAUUAGAUACCCGCGUAGUCCCUGAGCGGGCUGGCAAGGCGCAU
rnacentral:rRNA from 1 species